CAUCGCCCAUCACUCCUACCGAUUGAAUGGUCCGGUGAAGUGUUCGGAACGUGGUGAUGCGGGUGGUCCGUCGCUGGCAACGUCGCGAGUAGUCCACUGAACCUUAUCAUUUAGAGGGAGAAGAAGUCGUAACAAGGUUUCCGUAGGUGAACCUGCGAAAG
rnacentral:ncRNA from 1 species